rnacentral:rRNA from 1 species
CCUACUGGAGGCAGCAGUAGGGAAUUUUCGUCCAUGGGCGCAAGCCUGAACGAGCGAUGCCGCGUGAGUGACGAAGGCCUUCGGGUCGUAAAGCUCUUUUGCGGGGGAAAAAAGGCAGCAUCAGGAGAUGGGUGCUGACUGCUGGUGCCCCGCCAGAAAGUCACGUCUAACUAGGUGCCAGCAGCCGCGGUAAUACGUAGGUGGCGAGCGUUAUCCGGACUGUUUGGGCGUAAAGGGUGCGCAGCAGGUCCUGCAAGUCGCGAGUGAAACGCAUGGGCUAAAGUCAUGAAUGGCUUUGGAAACUGGAGGACUGGAGAGCAGGAGAGGGCGGUGGAACUCCAGGUGUAGCGGUAAAAUGCGUAGAUAUAUGGAAGAACACCAGUUGCGAAGGCGUCUGACUGGCCUGUGGCUGACGCUGAGGCACGAAAGCGUGGGGAGCAAAUAGGAUUAGAUACCCCAGUAGUC